CCCCAGCUUAUGAGUCGCAAAUAGGACGAAGCGCGCGUCCUAGAU
rnacentral:hammerhead_ribozyme from 1 species